rnacentral:sRNA from 1 species
GAGGCUUCUCCGCCGCUGCCGCAGACGCCGCCGCGUGAGUGUGGUGACCGGGCCCGGGGUGCCGGCUGGGGACGCGGAGUCCGUGGGGAUGCGGGGUGGGCGGCGGGGUAUUUCUGGGACGGAGGCCUACGGGCCGAGCCACGCGCGGCCUCGCCCGGCGGCCCCGGGAUGGGCCGGCAGGAGGCCGCCGGGGUAACUCCGCCGUCGCGUCCUCUCCGCCCGCCUCAGGAUGCGCUACGUCGCCUCCUACCUGCUGGCUGCCCUAGGGGGCAACUCCUCCCCCAGCGCCAAGGACAUCAAGAAGAUCUUGGACAGCGUGGGUAUCGAGGCGGACGACGACCGGCUCAACAAGGUUAUCAGUGAGCUGAAUGGAAAAAACAUUGAAGACGUCAUUGCCCAGGGUGAGUUGAUGUGGACGGGCUUUCGUUUGUUUUUAUGGUCCAUCCUAAUCCCUGCGGGUCCAUCUGUGGCCUGCCAGGUUUCGCUUGUGGACUAGAGCACCCUAGAAGCCUCACACGAGGAGUGAGCAGGGCUCCAGUGGGCUCACGUCAUGAGCGCUUCUAGACACUCUCAGGAGCAGGGCAGCAGGGGGCAC